rnacentral:rRNA from 1 species
GCGCGAAAACUUUACAAUGCGAGAAAUCGUGAUAAGGGAACCCCGAGUGCCCGUAAAUUCGGGCUGUCCGCCAGUGUAAAUAACUGGUGAAGAAAGGGCCGGGCAAGACCGGUGCCAGCCGCCGCGGUAAUACCGGCGGCUCGAGUGGUGGCCACUAUUACUGGGCUUAAAGCGUCCGUAGCUGGAUUGUUAAGUCUCUUGGGAAAUCCACCGGCUCAACCGAUGGGCGUUCAGGAGAAACUGGCAAUCUAGGGACCGGGAGAGGUGAGAGGUACUCCAGGGGUAGGAGUGAAAUCCUGUAAUCCUUGGGGGACCACCUGUGGCGAAGGCGUCUCACUAGAACGGCUCCGACAGUGAGGGACGAAAGCUGGGGGAGCAAACCGG